ACUAAAUAGAUACCCGGGUAGUCCACGCCGUAAACGAUGAGGACUAGGUGUCGGGGGUAUCGACCCCCUCGGCGCCGCCGCUAACGCAUUAAAGUCCUCCGCCUGGGGACUACGGCCGCAAGGCUAAAACUCAAAGGAAUUGACGGGGCCCGCACAAGCAGCGGAGCGUGUGGUUUAAUUCGAUGCAACGUGCAGAACCUUACCUCGGCUUGACAUGCAGGUGGUACCAACCCGUAAGGGGCGGGACCCGCAAGGGAGCUUGCACAGAUGCUGCAUGGCUGUCGUCAGCUCGUGCCGUGAGGUGUUGGGUUAAGUCCCGCGACGAGCGCAACCCUCGCUGCCAGUUACUCUUUCUGGCGGGACCGCCGGUACAAACCGGAGGAAGGUGGGGAUGACGUCAAGUCAGCACGGCUCUUACGCCGAGGGCUACACACACGCUACAAUGGCCGGCACAAUGGG
rnacentral:rRNA from 1 species